UCGGGCGAUUGAGUCCUUCCGUUGACACAUGGCAAAGUGAGUUCCUUCCAGUGUUUAGACGCUAGAAACUCCUACCAAGCCAGACACGGGUAGGGAACUGCUAUUUUGACCAGAAAGUUUCUUCAGGUGAGAAAUACUUGGUCGUAGAAUCAGGCCUUGACAGACCCACCUACCCUGAGAACUUAACGAGGACCUGAGCGCUAGAACGCGGAGGAAUCAUUUCUUCGGUUGCUCUUUAGUCUGGCCGUAUCGUUGGCUGAAACAGCUGUCAAUUUGAGGGUAGCUCCACCUGCGGCCCUAGGGAACUCUGGGACUUGUAGUCUUUAAAUGUGAUUGUUGGUGCUGAGUUCUUUGUCAGCGCUUCGUGACGUUUACUGUGGUUUUGGAGUGUUCCAUUGUGCUUUUAUCUUUUCCCUUAUCAGCACUGUUAAAGCCAAAGACCACUUAGGAAAACUGGAAAGACUUAAUGUAUGUUCGUAAAGAUAAAUAUUAGUGUUUCAAACGUUUCACUGCUGUGCCCGCCUCUCUACUAAACGUUCGUAAUUCGUGUACUAAGUGGAUCGUAAAUGUCUUCGUUUUUGAAAUUCUUUCCUUUACAACAAAAUGGCCUUGAUUUUCGUAUUAGUGAUCAUCCUAUAAUAUUUGAAGAGUGCCCUGAAUUUAACAGCUGUAUAUCACUAUUGUCGCUGCUUACUUAAAUCGUGUUGAUGUGACACGAUGCAGAACUGACUGCUGUCUUGACAGGAAAACAUUGCUGUAGUUAAAACGUCAAGCGUGACGGAUUCCAGGAGGCGCAUAUGUUGUAUAUCCUUCAGGAUUGCAUUAUGAAGUGUUUUUUCAGUAGUAAUGGAAACAUGUUGGUUUGAGGCAGUUACCCUGCCUUUAUUGAAUCAUGAACUCCUUCACUUGUGAGCAUGUUUAAUAAUAUUUCGUCACUUUGUGUUUAGCAAAAGUAAAUAUCAACCUAUAAAUACCACAACUUCCUGAGUGGACUCUUUUCCUUUCAACACUUUUUUUUUUCUGUGUAUCAUGUAAUACAAACUUCACUUUUUGUAAGAAAAAGCAGGGAUUGUUGCUGGACUAAAAAUUAAGUAUACUUUAGAGGAUUCAAGCCAAGCAGAAGCUGUUUUUUAUGAUGCUUGGAAUAGUUGCUUUUUUGUGUAAAAAAAAAUUUUUUUUUUUAAAUUUUUUUGUGUGCUGUUUGUAAAUGAUCACAGAAUGUUUCAGGUUUUAUUUGUAAAUGAAAAGUAGAGGAUAGCCUUUUUUAUUCUGAAUAAAUAAAGAGCCAAAUUGGGGAGUUCCCUUAGCUGCGCAUCGGAAAAGAAUCCGACUAGGAACCAUGAGGUUUCGCAACGCCGGAUCCUUAACCCACUGAGCAAGGGCAGGGACUGAACCUGCAACCUCAUGGUUCCUAGUCAGAUUCGUUAACCACUGCGCCACAGACGGCAACUCUGGUAUGUGAGUUUUGAGCAAGUUAUUUAAUCUCUCUAAACUUCAAAUUACUCACUAGAUGACAAUGUAUCCCUUUAAGGGAGGUUAUAAAGAUUAACAUAGUAUAAGGUACCCAGCACAGUGCUUGCAACAAUGCAGAUAUUCAGCAACUAUGGUUCAAAUUCCAAGAUUUGGUCCACUUGCUUUGAGAGAUUGUAGAAAGGAUGGCAAAAAGGAUGUUUGCUGAGUCACUCAGUUGUUGGAAAUUAUCCUUGAGAAAAAAAAUUUAGUGAUAGCACUAGGAGUAUACAACAGCCAGGAAGUGGAAUCAAAGAAGUUUAAAUGAUGUAAAUUAAUGUUAUAUGUAAAGUAGAGGAGAGCCCAGGAAAGAAGACAGUUGUGUGAUCUUAUGUGAAAUACAGACUCUGACUCUUCUCAUAUCCUUAGGGUUUUUUUUUUUUUUUUCAUGUCAUCUCCAACUGACCUUUGUGACAGUGUAGUACAAAACCAUCUGAGCUUAAAAAAAAAAAAAAAAAAAAAAUGAAAGCCUUCUGUUUUCUUUUGUAGAUUUCUGGAACAUUUAACCCCCAGAAUCAAAUACCACUGGUAUCCAUACUCAUCAUCUGCAUCUUUUUGCAUUUUCUUGUUUGAUUCUCUCUUACCUUUAUUCUAAAGAAGUAUGUAAUAGGAGGUUGGAUUUAAUUUUCUAAGCAUUAUAUUAAAUUUUCUUGCCAGAUAACACAAUAUUCCAGUUGUACCAAGCAUUAUAAAGAUGGAUCUGAUCAUAAUGCCAGCAUCUUCAUAUCUAAACAAUAAAGAUAUCACUUUG
rnacentral:lncRNA from 1 species